ACAGGGAAGAAUUUUCCAUCCUUCCUUAAAUGUAUGAUACACAAUGAUGUAAGAGUUUUCUUUAGACAUUUAUUUAUUUGGAAAUGAUAUCACCCUAAAAAAUGAAAGUUAUUUACGUUUUAUGGCUAGUAUUCUUUUUCAUGUUCAUGACUCGAUCACAGAAAGGACCUUGCGCGGAUGACAGGAAAGAUGGCUGCUGCUAUGGAACAGUUUGGGAUUCAAGUCUUAGGAAAUGUACAGAAUGUCAAAUUGGCUUCUUGGGAGAGUUUUGUAUGGAGAAAUGCAGGCCUCCUUAUUAUGGUAAAAAGUGCCAAAAUGAAUGCACGUGUAACGAUAGCAUGUGCGAUAAUGUGAAAGGUU